UACGGGGGGAGCAAGCGUUGUUCGGAUUUACUGGGCGUAAAGGGCGCGUAGGCGGCGCAACAAGUCACUUGUGAAAUCUCCGGGCUUAACUCGGAGCGGCCAAGUGAUACUGUCGUGCUAGAGUGCGGAAGGGGCUACUGGAAUUCUCGGUGUAGCGGUGAAAUGCGUAGAUAUCGAGAGGAACACCUGCGGCGAAGGCGGGUAGCUGGGCCGACACUGACGCUGAGGCGCGAAAGCCCAGGGGAGCGAACGGG
rnacentral:rRNA from 1 species